rnacentral:misc_RNA from 1 species
AACGCACGAGACCUGCGGACCUGCGGAGGGAUCAUUACAGGACUCGCAAGACUCCUACAACCCUGUGAACUUAACUAUAAGCACGUUGCUUCGGCGGGUGUCUCGGCGAGGGUCCUCCCUCCCCGGGGCGCUAAGCCCGCCGGCAGCCUACUAUACUCUGUCUCUUUGCGUUGGCAUCUCGAGUACAAACAAACAAGUUAAAACUUUCAACAAUGGAUCUCUAGAUCGGAAGAGCACACG